rnacentral:rRNA from 1 species
UGGGGAAUAUUGGACAAUGGGCGCAAGCCUGAUCCAGCCAUGCCGCGUGUGUGAAGAAGGCCUUCGGGUUGUAAAGCACUUUUGUCCGGAAAGAAAUCCUCUGGGUUAAUACCCCGGGGGGAUGACGGUACCGGAAGAAUAAGCACCGGCUAACUACGUGCCAGCAGCCGCGGUAAUACGUAGGGUGCAAGCGUUAAUCGGAAUUACUGGGCGUAAAGGGUGCGUAGGUGGUUUGUUAAGUCUGCCGUGAAAUCCCCGGGCUCAACCUGGGAAUGGCGGUGGAUACUGGC